rnacentral:misc_RNA from 1 species
AGAGUGUCCCUAUGAACUUUGAGAAUUCGUUAUCGUUGUGCUCCUUUAUUUUGUUUUUUAUUUCCUUUGCAAGUUUGUUUAAGUGUUUUUUGUUUUCUCGUGUUCUAUGUUUUUGCCAUUUUGCUUUCGCUUUUCUUUUUUCUCUAAUUUUUUCAAGUAUGUCUUGCGGAAUUAUUUUUGUUUGUCUGCAGUUUGGUUUGGGUGUAGUGGUUGUUCAUGCUGCUUCUUGGAUAGUUUCUGCCAAUGAUGUUACUGCCUAUUCAAUGUGUUCGGGUGUUUUCAAUGGGAUGUUGCAGAUUAUUUUGCUCUCGGUUAUUUCUUUAAAAGUUUGCCAUUUGGUGGUUUUAUUGCAUAGUGUCUCUGGAUUGCUAUAAAGUAUUGGUUUGUUUCUGUAUUCAAUUAUUAUGGGUGUAUGAUCAGAGCUAAGAUCGAGGUUGGGUGUUAUUUUUAGUUUAUUUGUGUUUAGUCCCUUUGUAACUGCAAAAUCGAGUAGGUCAGGUUUUUUGCUCAGGUCUGUCGGCCAGUAUGUCUACCUGUGGAUAAUAUAUUGAGGUUAUUGUUUGUAAUGUAUUUUUCCAGGGUUCUACCUCGAGGUGUAGUAAUUCUUGAUCCCCAUAGCGUGUGCUUUAAGUCGCAGUCUCCCGCUACGAUGUACUUGUCCCCUAAGUGUUAAAAGUACUCUUCCCACAUUUGUGAUGUUAUUUUAUGUCGCGAUGGUACAUAUACUGCUGACAACUGGAUGUGGUUGCUGCUAGUUUGAAUUGUAACGGUGGUUGCUUGGGUAUAUUCCUUACUAACUUGGCUGUGUAAAUGGUGUUUGAUAUUGUUUCUUAUUAUCACUACGGUCUCUCCGUGCGCUUUUCCUGAGCGGUAUUUGGUAUCAUAUAUGAUGUAGUAUGGUACUUUCAUGUGGCUUUUUGAAGUGAAGUGUGUUUCUGAAACAAGUAAUAUGUCGAUAUUGUUGUUAUACAGGAAUGUUUUAGUUUCUAGGGCCCGUUGUUGUAGGCCGUUUGAAUUCCAGGCUGCUACUUUUACUAUGUCCGUUUUUAUUUUUUGCUUAGCAUGUUUGUAAGUAGUUCUUUGCAUUUGCUGUCUAAGAACUGCGUUUUGUUCGCUUAUCAUUUUUGUUAGCAUUUCGGUGUUUUUGAUGGAUUGUUUGAGCAGUUCCUUGAUUUCUGUAAUGUCGUUGCUGAUAUUGUUCUGAUUUUGGUUGUUUAAGGGUGGCGAUUGGUCGAUUACUUGCGCGUAGCUUCGGCUACCAAAGGUGUCGGUGUUACUGUGGUUAAUGUGUCCGCUUCCUGGUCGAGGGGGCCGAGCGACGUGGUUACGUGACGUUGGCCGUGUCGCUGGACGUAGUCAACGUCUUCAACAGC